AUAUAAUUUUAGCUGUGAUAUCACUAAAAUAAUCCCAUGAUAUUUUUUUUAUAGCUGAGCUUGAAGGACAUGUGUAUCAAGCGAGCUAGUUCUUUAAAUUCUGUUUAUCUGGUGAGGAAUCGGGUUAAGGGUCUGAGGCAAGAUAAAGGCUCUAACCAUUGAAUUUCUAGGAUGGGGGUUGGAAGAUUAAUUCUGAACCCGAGCAUACACAAAUGCUAGUUGCAUGUGAUGGAUAUUAUACAUUUCAUAUGCUCCCAUGCAUUCUUUGUCAAAUUGAUGUUGUAAAAAAACUAUAAUUGCACACAAUAACUGCAUUGUAUUAGUUUCAAAUUGUAACCAUUAUCAUUAUAACCACGUAUCAUUAAAGGUUCCCAUUUUUUAAUGUUUAACUAUCAGUUGUUUCAACAUAAAUCCCAAGCGAGUGAAACUGUAUAAUUAUCUUAUGGUUUUGUCUGUGUGAUUGGCAGUUGUUUAAAGGGUGGUGUCAGGAAGGGUGCAUUGGUUUUAACUGGAGGUGGGAGGGAGGAAAAUACAUUGUUUUCCUGUCGAUUUAGACACUGCAGCAGCAGUCCUCUUUAACGUAUCGAGCAGACUCUGGGCGCUGGACAGAGGGGUGUGGCCUACUUCAUUUGAAUGUUGGGAACAGCAAGAGUCCAGUGACUCGGGGAACAGAUUGGUUUGAUUGUGCUGAGGUAGCAUAGCACGGCUGAAAGCAUUUGUGAAGGACUGUGAAGGAAUCAAUGACUGUGGCUGGAGACAGUACUGCCACUUUCAAAGUCUUCCUCAAAUUUAUUCUAGCAACAGAUUCUUAGCUUUUGUUUCCUGCUGAUUCCAGAGAGGAAAGAGAGCCGACAUCACUUUGUCUCACCCAGCUGUGAUUAGCCAACCCGUCUUUACUGACAGUUACAUUGACAAUGAGAUUACGACUACUACCUUUCCAGGAACUAUGGGUUUUUCUCUUUGUCAGUCGUGAUUUAAACUAGAGAGCUCUAGUUUAAUUUAAACGAAGCACCUGGCCAUUUUAUGUGUGUGGCUACUGAUUUACUGAGAAUAUCUGGACAGAAUUGCCCGAUUCAAUAAGUCAAUGUGUGGCUGUGGUUGCGGUAUCAUUUCUUCUUUAAUGAAGAGGCUGGGACGCCCAAACUGCUGCAAAGAUAUUUUUCCUUGCAGUUUUACAUCAGGGCAACUGGAAAGACUUUCUAAUGGUUUGCUCAACCAUCAAAAGUCCAAGGAUGGUUUACCAUCAUCAGCGCAACUAGGAUCAAUCAAUAUGCAGUGAUCUUCUUGAUUGGUGUCUCAACAUAAUUUCAGAAUCUCGGGACUUUCCAAACAAACAACUUCAAAGCAGUUUUCUCAAUGGAUUUUUAACGAUAUUUUACGAUCGGAUUAUGAGUCGUGAAAGCCAGGAAGUUCAUAGUAAAGUGUUUUGCUUUAAAUUCGACUCCGAGCCUUAAGUGCAUUGGAGCAUUUCAAUGGCCCGCCUUAGCAUUCAGCAACAAAGGAGAUGAAAUAUCAGCUAAGAUAAAAGCCUAUUAUAUAUUUUUUACUUGGAUACUGACAGCCUUUGUACAAAUGGCACAUAAGGCAAGAUAGAGAUUCCAUGUGAUUGUUUAUAUUAAUAAAACAAAAAUAAAUAAAUUGGUUGAAAUCAA